GGGGGUCUUCUCUCUUGGCUUUGGAGCUCCCCAUUCCUCUGUGUCUGUAACAGGGGAGCUUCUUCCUUCUUUCUUCUCCCUUCUUUCUUGCCUGUUAAACUCUCUGCUUCUUAAAACCACUCCAUGUAUGUCCAGGUCAUUUUAUCUAAUUUGGAGACGGAGAACCCUGGUGUUCCUCUGCUCAUCAGAGCCGUCUCACCUGCAAGGGCCAGGAUCCAGCACUAGGGCUGCCCUUUAUGUUCAUGCAGCCUCCACUAGGAAGAUCCUCCUUAGCUGCCACCUGCUGUAAAGGGAUCUAUCUAUCUAUCUGUCUAUCUAUCUAUCUAUCUAUCUUUCUAUCUACCUGUCGAGAGAGAGAGAGGUUUAUUAUAAGGAAUUGACUCAUGUGAUUAUGGAGGCUGAGAAGUUCCACAGUCUGCUGUCUGCAAGCUGGAGACCCAGGAAGGCUGCUGGUGCCGUUCCAGUUUGAUUCUGAAGGCCUGAGAACCAGAACUGAUGCCCACUCAACAUGAAGAUGACAAGGAUGAAGACCUUUAUGAUGAUCCAUUCCCACUUACUGAAUAUGUUACUUCGUAUUAGAGAGAAUGUUUUUAUUCUCAGGCGAUAGAUGCAAAAAUAUUUAAAGUGCAGCUCACUUUCAAACGGUUCAGCCAAAUGUCGAUGAUUUUUGAAUCUAAGUGGAUGAAGCUUCUUGGUGAUGUAACAGUCUGUGGAAACUCCCACAGGACAAAUGCAGAAAGGAAGGACCUAGAUCACUGGAUGGUCAACGUUGCCCCUUGCACAGCAGCAAAGGCCUAUACAAAUUUUUUGAGUAGCUUUAUCUAGUGGUUCAGCUACUGGGAAUAACUUGUAAAAUCCCCUGGAUAGUCAACAGCAUUGGGGCUUGCUUUGUAAACAGAGACCUGACCUACUUAAUUCUUCCCAGAGGUUGGAAAAAGAGGCUGGACUCACACAGACAUGAAACCUUGGCUUAAUUGGACACUAAUUACUCAUAAGAGAUCUGUUUACCCGAACUUCCCCUAGACCAAGCUCAGUAUAAAAUGAGAGGAUGCAUAAAGAAGCAAGAUAUUUAGAGGAAAAUGUCACAAAUACAUUUAUCAGUCCCAAAAGUCCUUUUUUUUCCCCAGAAGUGAUGUUGCUAAUUGCACAAAAAUAAACAAUACAGGGGUUGAUAAAUUCCACAUUUAAGGGCUGAGGAUAGUGUCCCUACAUUUCUAAGAAGCUGUAUAUUUGGAAAUGAAUACAAUUGAAAGUAAGGAUAAGUGGCAUUCUAAAGCCAAUUGGAUAACUUGAAUGAACAAGCAGAAUUUACCAUAUUUUGAUAUGUUUCUUUUUGAUUAAAGUAUCUGUAAAGGAAACAAAUUAUAGUAUUGCUAUAGAUUUUAUUACUGAACAAGAAAAAAAGGCUUGAUGUUGUGCAUUUCCUUUUGGCCUUUGGUCUUGGCUGAUAUUGGGCAUCCAAUGAGCUUCUUUGUCUUGAAUGAAGACUUAAGAGGGAGUGAAAAGUAGGAAGAGCAUCAAAACUUCUUUGCAGGAUGUAAUCAAACCACCUACUACUUAUUGUCUUACGAUCCAUUUAUUCAACAAAUGGAACAUCUCAAUUGCUUGAUGCUAUUACAGACACUAGGUAUAGUCUUAGAAAAACAAAUUGCUGUUUUUAUAUAGCUUGUGUUAUGGGUUGAUGUAGUACAGUCAAAAUUAUUUAAAUAAAGGAAGAUGUGAGGAAGA
ensembl:lncRNA ETS2-AS1 ETS2 antisense RNA 1